rnacentral:rRNA from 1 species
UACGGGGAGGCAGCAGUGGGGAAUAUUGCACAAUGGGGGAAACCCUGAUGCAGCCAUGCCGCGUGUGUGAAGAAGGACCUUCGGGUUGUAAAGCACUUUCAGUAGGGAGGAAGGUAGUGUAGUUAACACCUGCAUUAUUUGACGUUACCUACAGAAGAAGCACCGGCUAACUCCGUGCCAGCAGCCGCGGUAAUACGGAGGGUGCGAGCGUUAAUCGGAAUUACUGGGCGUAAAGCGCAUGCAGGCGGCCUGUUAAGUCAGAUGUGAAAGCCCGGGGCUUAACCUCGGAAUUGCAUUUGAAACUGGCAGGCUAGAGUCUUGUAGAGGGGGGUAGGAAUUUCAGGUGUAGCGGUGAAAUGCGUAGAGAUCUGAAGGAAUACCAGUGGCGAAGGCGGCCCCCUCGGACAAAGACUGACGCUCAGAUGCGAAAGCGUGGGGAGCAAACAGGAUUAGAUACCCUGGUAG